GACACGGCCCGGGGACACGGCCCGGGGACAGCGCCACACGGCACCCCCGCCGCGCCCCCGCCACACGGAGAGCUGUCCCGAGGGCACCCGCGGUGGCGGCUGCUUCUGGGAGUGGGGACAAAGUGUCUGCCGGAUGAAGCUGAAGAAAGAAAAUAAUAAUUGGCGCCUUUAUAGGAAGUUUCUGGGAAAUUAGGGUUUUAAUUCGGAUGAGUUUUGAUUUAGAACAUUUCACCCGAAGGUUUCUGGCUCUUUGAACAUCACUGAAUCGUACUUUCAUUUUACCAGUGGGGAGAUGGGGAAGAAGCCAGGGAGGGACGUGGUAUGGACUCGGCAAAGGCCACAGUGCUGAAUUUCAAUGAAAAGUCCAUUAAUGUGAUUAAUGAACAGGCCCAUGGGCCCAAAAUCCCCACGGGGCAAUGCUAGAUCCCUUAAAUCCCUAAAUCCCCUCAGGACAGAGGGGUUCCACAGCUGAAGGGACCCUCACGGGGCACACAGCCCUUUGGCUUGUCUCUUCCUGCAUCCUUUAUGAAUAUGAGAAAUUGUUCAUACAAAACCUCCGAAAUGUCUGGUUUCUUGCCCAUCAUUGCUGUGGCCAAAAGCUCUUGCCUGGCACUGGGGAAGAAAUUACACAGGUGGCAAUUCCUAUUUCAGGGCAGAAAAACAAUCAAAAGUCCUUUAUGGGAAAAAUAAAGACUUUGUUCCUGCAGAAGCACGUAUGAUUCAGUAGCUUAAGCAGGUUCAGUGGCCUGAGGAGGGGUUUCAGGAGAGUGUGUGCAGCUGGAGCCAGCCACCCUUGGCUUCAUAUGGAAUGCUGCUGGAAAAACAAAGUGAAAAAGGGAAUUUUUUUUUAUUUUCAUUUUUUAUUUUGUAAAACCUUUUACAAACCCACAUUUCAUCGGGCAUUACUGCUUGCAAUGUAGAGAAAAUCACUAUUUAUAAGUCCACAUAUAACUGCCUUCCACAAAGCCCACCAAAACAAACAAUUGGUGUCAUGGUCAGCACAGGACUUUUCUGGAGUGUUAGCUGUCCUGCUGUGUCAGAGCUGCGAGCAGAGUGCAUCUCCUGGGCUGGCAGGGGCUGAGGAAUCCUUCAGCCUGUUCUGUUCUGCUCCUGCCUUUUUGUGUCUUCCACAGCCUCUGGGGAGCAAUUCCAGCACUUCUCCAGUGUGCUGAGACAAGGGCAAAGGCCCCUAAGCCCCUGAGACCCUCUGAGAUGUCAGGCCCAAAGAGAUGGGGAUCAGUGACAGCGAGGAACAUGAAGAACAUUCCAUUGGUCUGAUAUCUCCAGGAGUUUCCAUUUGCCUUCAUGCGGAUGAUUCCCAGGCUUUGCCUAGCCCUGCUCCUGGAUUUUGGGAUUGGCUGGAAACACAAGGAAGCUGAGUGAAAAUUUCUUUGGUACCAAGAAUUCACCCUUUUUUCUCAAGUGACUUCAUGUUUUCCUUGUUUCAUGAGACCCUUCUUAAACCAGCUGCACUGAACUUCCUUCUCCAGCCUCAUCUUCCCCAAAAGCAACCCCCAGCACAGAGACACCAUAGCACUGCUUCCUAAAAACUUCCAAAACUUCCCACUCCUGUUGCUGUUCUUGUCAUGUCAGAUUGUCCCUCAGCAUUCUUGGCUUGUUUGGUUUGAUCUGUAUUAUGCACAUUAGUACCAGGCACGUCUCAAAUCCCUCAGCAAACAAAAACAGCCAAAUGCUGUUUUCCAAAACCCAACUUUGCUGGAAGCACAAUACUGAGGUGUCCCACCAAGAUCUGCUCAAGCCAUCCAAGCUGUGACUUUCUGCUCUGGGAUUGAGAGAUCCCACAGGGACAGCUUCCCUGUGCCUAACCACAAAGGGAGUUUGCCAACCAGCCCUCCCUUCCUCAGCAGCUGAGGCCUGCACAUGCACUUCACUCUUCAGAGCACACUGCUUCCCAUGGCUUCUAGUGCUUCUGCUCACUGCUGGGAAAGACCAGAACUGCUUCAGUCUCCACAUUAUUAAAAUUAACCCUAAUUCUCUUAGAAUAACCUUGUCAUAAGGGUAAGGAAGGAAAAGGAAAGGGGAGCUGAAGGGACACCAGGGUGACAGGACACAACCAAAGACCUUUUUGAGGCAUCUCUGCUGGAGACCAGCAGUUGAAGGACCCCCAGGUGGCCUUGGCAUCCAUUGGCAGAGGGGAAAAGGGAAUAAUGUGAUGUGGAGGGGUGAAAAACACAGGGCAGCUCCGGACCUGCCACAUCACAUCCCUGCAGCAGUGUGCUGCAGGCUGACCUCCAGAGCUGAGCUUACUGCACAGCCUGGGUGCUCCUGGGUCCUGCCCAGGCUCUGUACAGCAUAAACAACACAGGAGAAGCUGUGGCUGCCCCAUCCCUGGAAGUGCCCAAGGCCAGGCUGGACAGGCCUGGAGCAACCUGCCAUAUGGGAACGUGUCCCUGCCCAGAGCAGAGGCUGGAACUGGAUAGUCUCUAAGGUGCCCUCCAACCCAAACAAUCCUGUAAUUUUUUUGUCUUUCUGUUUGUGGAACUCAUCCAGGAGCAGACCCUCAGUUUGUUUGGGAUGCUGAAGCUUUGCUGCAAAGCAAUGACGUAGACUGAUACCAGAGCGCCUGCAGGGAAGGAGGGCUGCCUGCAGCAGAAACAGGUGUUUAAGCUGCCUCACUGUCCACAACAGAGCACAAAGGCAUUUGAUAUCACGACAAUCAAAAUGGCCAUGAUCAAGCAGAACACUUCAGACCAUGCUUUAUUUUAAUCUUCUGGAUAACUGCUAUGAAAUUAUAAUUUGGGAUAUAGGAGUGCCCUCUUGAAUCAAGACCAAAAUCUUUUAUUCCCAAACAUAUACACGGUACCCAGAUCAGAAGCUGGUGAAUUCAGGAGCAUUUUAAUCUUUCGAAGUGUUUUGUGACAUUUCAUGCAAAGUUCUGCACUGACAAUGACUCAUCCACAUGUUUUGCAGCUGUUCAUAGAGAACCUCCAUGCCCAAGGGAGAGAUCUGGGCUGGGACAGACCAGAAACCCCCAGACCAUUUCCAGAGGUUCAACCCAUCAAACUGCCUCCUUCCCUUCCCACGGAGCCUGGAGAGGUCUGCUCCAGGAUACCUUUACACACUCUCCAUCCGAGGUCCGUGACCAGCUCUAGUGCUGAUGACAGAGAAUAAGCAGAUUUGGUGUCCCUGUGGUGAAGUCUCCUCCCGGUGGCACAGAACAGGCACAGAUGUACCAUUGUGCUUGCCCUGUCCCAGCUGAGGGCAUGGAUGCCCUUGGAACAGGAAAUGCUGCUGAGGGUCCUGUCAGUGGGAGUGCUGUGCUCCUCUCAUGGGUGGCUGCACUUCAGCAGAGCACGAAAACACCUCUGUCCUCACUCAGCCCACCAUACUUCACUGGGCUGCUCUGGGAUCCACGGCUCUCGGGAACAAUUAGUCCAAUUAUCUGCCCUGUGGCCCUGACCACCCCAUGAUCAGCCCAUGCCAUCGAGUGCCAGAGGGUGGCACAAACAGUGUCACAGGGUGCCUGGGGAGCAAGGUCGGGGUGAGUGGUGUGAUCACCAAAUCAAAGAGCCAGACAACCAUAAACAGACAUACAUAUAUAAUAUGUACAGUGGCCAUGGGUGCAUGUGCACCAUGAAGGAAAUCAUCACAUUUUAGACUGCAGAAAAUGAUCAAACUCUGAAUUUUUUUAGUGCCAAGUGUAUCUAACUAGCCAGCAAAAAGAACAGGAAAUGUCCAGAUGUGGGCUGAAUGACCUGGUGCAGAUGUCAGCUGGGGUAUUCUUCCCUUCUCAAUUUCAGACACAAAGUGCAAGAGCAUUCUUUUAUUUUCACUACAUGCUGUGGACAGAAAUUUAUCUCAGUAGUGUUUGGUUUGGUUUCUACUUUUUCUCUCACUCUCUUCAGCUUUUCCAAUAGAUUCACUGGGACUAAAACACAGAGCUAAGGUACAGCCAUUAAUUCAGUCAGCAGAAAUUUCCAAGCCUCUCAGUAGGAAUGAGCCAGGCUUUUGGAACAGACUGAGAUAAUGCAGUGGAAGGAGAGCUCUGAACCCAUCCAAAUGUGGUCUUCAGUCCAUGAUCUGUAUUUUUUCACUGUGGAGUACUGCUAAGAUAUCUCCAAAAAGUGUCUAAGAAAGUUAAACCUACUACCAUUAAUCAGAAAUUCACCACUGAGGAGGUUGAACCUCUGUAGGAAAACUACUGGGGGUGCACAAGUUGUUAAGAGGAAGAAGUUAUUAAACCUGUUGAAAACCCGUGGUUACAAAAUCAAACUGCCAAUGAGUCUGCACAACAACUGGAUUCAAAAUAUUUACUGCCAAAAUUCAAGGUAUGUAGUGACGUGGACACAGGAACUUCCCUGGGACG